rnacentral:rRNA from 1 species
CUCCGCCGGCGACCGGCGCACGGGUGAGUAACACGUAUGCAACCUGCCCCUGUCAGGGGGACAACCGCCGAAAGGCGGGCUAAACCCGCGUACAUGCCACCGGGGCAUCCCGGAGGCAGGAAAGGCUUCGGCCGGACAGGGAUGGGCAUGCGACGCAUUAGGCAGUAGGCGGGGUAACGGCCCACCUAACCGACGAUGCGUAGGGGUUCUGAGAGGAAGGUCCCCCACACUGGUACUGAGACACGGACCAGACUCCUACGGAAGGCAGCAG